rnacentral:lncRNA from 1 species
UCUGAAGACAGUGACAGAGUACUCAAAUGUGUGAAAUAAAUAAAUUUUUUAAAAAAAUAAUUCUCAAUAGUUCAUCUUCUUAGCCAAACACUUACCCGCAUGCUGUGAUACUGUCCCGGCUUCCCAGGAGGUAGCAUAUACUAAACUGAGAAUGCUCCUCCCAUUCUCUCUUUCCCUACACCCUCCCCCAGUGAAAGUCUACAGAAACACAGCUUUGACUCAACUCUUUCACUGUCAAAGUGCAUAUUUAUCUUCUCAUGUUAAAAUAAUCAUCUUAAUUUCAGAUGUGUAGUUUCCAAAACAAUUUACCUCUACUGGAGCAAGGAAAUAAACAAAGAAAAAGGAAGAUAUAGAAUCCAGGAAGCAGAAGACGUAACGCAGGACAGAGAUGAAGGGAUGGUGAAAGAAAUUCCAGAGUGACAUCUGUACAGCAGACAUGGAGAACCACCAGACCAGACUAGAGCCAGAGGACAGAGAAAGCUGCGAGAGUUGCCCCCAGGAGAGCAGACAUGGAGCAAAAACAGUGCUGAAUUUUCUUAGACAGUCGGUCUUAUGAAAAAUUGUCCUGUUGGAAAGGGAGGGAAAUUUUAGCAGUACAUAGAGGCUGAACAAAUGAAAACAAAAAGACGUAGUUAGGUAAAGGAAAAAAAUUAAAAAUUGAACACACAAAAGUCAAGAGCAUUGUACACUUGUGAUUUAUCAGAUAACAAACUGCGUACAGUAAACAAAGUAGCAAUGUAAACGUUAUUAUAAAAGUGAAUUUAACCUAAAGUUAGUGAUUUUUGAUAAUCAGGUGUCAUAUCAGAAAGCUAAUCAUUAGAGCUGAGGGUGCAUUUUUUAGUGAUAGAGCGCUUGAUUGACAUGUUCAAGGCAUGGGUUUGAUCCCCAGGCAUUGCAAAAACAAAAGGAAAGAAAGAGGAAGAAAAACACCUCACUCGUUACUGUUUCAAGAAAGAAUAUAAACAUGGGAAUGUAUUCCAAAAUAAGCAAAUGAGAACUGUGUUUGCAGAACCGCACAGGAGUUGGGGCUUGCAGGGCUAGAUGCAGAACUUUGAGAAACAGUGCAAGGCCUCAGUCACGAGCUUUGGAUUGCUGUCUGGCUAGUGUGUGUACUUAUUCCAAUUGAACAAAAAUUUCAAGACCUUAAGAUGUAGCUCAGAGGUACGGUACUUGACUGGGAUGUACAAGGCUGUGGUUUCAAUCCCUAGUACCAAUAAAAUGAACAUUAAAAUGUGCCUUCAGAAUAAAAUUACUUCUGAUUUUCUUUUUCUUUUUUUAAUAUAUAUAUAUUUAUUUAUAUAUAUAUUUAGGGCUGGAGAAAUGGUUCAGCAGUUGAGAGUGCUGACUGCUCUUCCAGAGGUCCUGAGUUCAAUUCCCAGCAACCACAUGGUGGCUCACAACCAUGUAUAAUGGGAUCUGAUGCCCUCUUCUGGUGUGUUUGAAGACAGUGACAGUGUACUCACAUACAUUAAAUAAAUAAAUAAAUAAAUAAAUAAAUAAAUAAAUAAUUUUUAAAAAUG